UACGAAGGGGGCUAGCGUUGUUCGGAAUUACUGGGCGUAAAGCGUGCGCAGGCGGCUUCUCAAGUCAGGGGUGAAAGCCCGGAGCUCAACUCCGGAACUGCCAUUGAAACUGUUAGACUUGAGGAUGAGAGAGGUGAGUGGAAUUCCCAGUGUAGAGGUGAAAUUCGUAGAUAUUGGGAAGAACACCGGUGGCGAAGGCGGCUCACUGGCUCAUUUCUGACGCUCAGGCGCGACAGCGUGGGGAUCAAACAGG
rnacentral:rRNA from 1 species